UGAGAUUUAGAACCCGGUUGAGAGAAAGCUGUGUCAGAGAGAGAUAGCGCUAAGAGACAGAUAGAGAGGCCGAUGACGAUGGUUCCGCCGGUGUUACAACCUUCUCACCGGCGUCAAUAACACUUAACGACGACGUUUUGAUCAUUGUGGUGGCGGCGAACAUGGUUUGUACCGAAGAGCGAUGAGGUAUGUUCGAUCAGAUGCUGCCAUAGCUCUGACAAUGUCGGCGGUCAAGCGGUUAGGGUUUCGAUCAACUUCCGCAACGUCUGUUGAGGUUCCGAUGAACGGCCAGGAGAAGAUUUCAGUGAAUGGGUAAGCACACAAGCCUAAUUAUGCGUAUUGCUUCAGUGUGACGGUGAUGAUGUUGUAACGGUGUGGUUGUUAGGGUUUGUUUGCCCUAAUAAGUCGUUCUCGAACCCUAGGUGGAGAUAAGAACUAAUGGUGGACCAAUGAAGAUUGAUCAGGUUUAGUUGGUAAGAGUGGGUCGAAAUGGAAGUUAUGGAGGAGUUCUUUGGUGGAAAUCGAUUCAGAUUGGAAAGGGUUUAAAGGGAAGUACAGGGAAGUGGGAUCGGAUGGGUCGCAUUCGAGAUAAUAUCUCCCGUGCAGAAGAGGCAACAAGCUGAAUGGGAAGUUGCAUGUUCUAUGUAUAUGGCAUUGAUUUGAUCUUUGAAUCAAUGAUGAUUUGCACUUGUUCUCUUUUUUUUUUUGUUGUUGAAAAGGAAUUUUACAUUCUAUUUUUGAUAUGUUUGCAGCCACCAGGAACAAUAUAUGCUUUGAAGAUUCUGAGCUUCAACAGCUAAUGCAGGAAUGAACAUGUAAGAAUAAAGAGGCUUAUUAGAAAAACUUUUAACAUGAUACAAAAACUUGCUGGCAAUGAGAAUAGAGAGCGAGGAGAUAAAUCGCAGGGGAACAAGGAGGGUUAAAGGCCAUAUUGAAGAGAGGAACGUUUUCAGUAGGUGGUCAUCGAAGUGUUUUUGAAGCUGUUUAGUUUCGGGAUCAAAAAGAACCAUUAGAGACAUGGUAACAGGUCCAUACAUUUUUGACUGAAUACACAAUCAUGAUUGGCUUUGAAAUUGGUAACAUCAUCAAGCAUGAUACCUUGCCCAGGUGUUGAUUUUAUAAAGACGACCAUGAAUGAAGAGGAGCUCAAUUUUUCGGAUCAUCCAACACCCCUCCGUCAUCAGUCGUGACCUGUUUCCACCAAUCAUCACCCCUCCACGUUGUUUCUUUUCAAUUUUAUUUAGGCAUUUUUUAUGGUUUUUUAGUCCAUGAUUCCAUGUUACGUCAGCGGGUCGGUUACCUUCAAAUAAAUCUACUUUUGUUAAGUGUUAUGAAUGAAAGAGGUGGUGGUGAAUUUAUUUAUGAAAUUAUCUUGGUUAUUUUCUGCU
rnacentral:lncRNA from 1 species